rnacentral:rRNA from 1 species
AACGAACGCUGGCGGCAGGCCUAACACAUGCAAGUCGAGCGAAGUCUUCGGACUUAGCGGCGGACGGGUGAGUAACGCGUGGAAAUAUGCCCUUCUCUACGGAAUAGCCUCGGGAAACUGGGAGUAAUACCGUAUACGCCCUUGGGGGGAAAGAUUUAUCGGAGAAGGAUUAGCCCGCGUUGGAUUAGGUAGUUGGUGGGGUAAUGGCCUACCAAGCCGACGAUCCAUAGCUGGUUUGAGGGGAUGAGCAGCCACACUGGGACUGAGACACGGCCCAGACUCCUACGGGAGGCAGCAGUGGGGAAUCUUAGACAAUGGGCGCAAGCCUGAUCUAGCCAUGCCGCGUGAUUGAUGAAGGCCUUAGGGUUGUAAAGAUCUUUCAGCUGGGAAGAUAAUGACGGUACCAGCAGAAGAAGCCCCGGCUAACUCCGUGCCAGCCGCCGCCGUAA